UCAAUGAAAUUCUAACUGAUAUCUCAUAGAUUUAGAAACCUUCCAAUACCACUGAUGAAAGAUCCAUUCAGUAGAGUUUAGGGAGUACGAAUUUAGAAACAAAAGUCAUCAGCCACACCCAAAGCACAUCCCUAAGUUUUUCAGAAGAAGAAAGAAUGUGUUACAAGAGGCUGAUUUUCCAAUUACUACCACAAAAAUUGAAUUUACAGAGACCAAAUAAAACAAUAAAUGUUCAAGACAUGCAGGGACAAACGGCGUCAAAGUCAUCAGCCUUCUUCUCUGUUGGAAUAUAAACUGAACCACACCAUUGCCUUUUCUUUUUCUUCGUCCGACCAAGAUAUGCACAUCAUUUACAAUCCUCAUUCUACUGGAAAACUCGAUUGAUAAAUUUGCUAACCCUUGUAGAUAAUAUCAACCAUGGUAUAAUGCCAACCUGCAGUUAUAUCAGAACAAUAUGAAAAAAACAACCAAGUCCAUCUGAUUACAUGCUUAAAAUUCCAUUUAACUCUUAACACCUAUUAUGCAGUCUGACUUGGGAAAAUUUUAAUCCCAAACCCUAUGCAUUCAUCUAGGCUAUAGAAAGAUCAAGUAAACCUCAAAAGAAAGAUUUAGUUGAGCUUGAGUUAAAUUCUUAAACAUGAUAUCUCCACAACAAUUUUAAUAAAGUCUAGGCUGGAAAUUUUGUCAAUCUUCUCCACAAUUUUAUUUUAUGAUGGCUAAUUAAUAACAGGGAAACAAGGUGCUAAACACUAUUCCUAAAUAAACAUUAGCAAGUAGAGGUUUUAACCAAAAUACAAACAAGUGUUGUGUUGUGUGCUAUCGUUUGGAUUCUGCUGGUUGAGCUUGGUAGCCCGCAGCCCUAUUUGGACAUUUCCCAUGCUGGUAUGCAUUCUUCCACAGAGAAUGUUGUUUAUUUUUCAAUUGCAAAUUAUUCUAUCACUACUAUUUAGGAUAUUAGUUGCUAUUAUUUUUCUCUUAUUACUCCAUAUAUCUUAGGGCAUGUGAAAUCUUUUGUACAUGUUUAUGAUUUGGGAAAACCCUCGACUUGUUAUCCAGUAAAAGACUUUCUCCAGGAUAUGGACACACGCACACACACACAAAAUAAAUAAAUAAAAAUACGAGGAGGCUUUUGUUGGGGGCAUGGGUGGGGUGGGGUGUGGGUAGUUGGUGGUUUGUUGUAAAGCAAAACAGAAUUGAAAAACAUUACCAAUACAUUAUCAUUUAAACAACCUCCAGCACCCCAAGAUAGUAACUUUCCAAAGGGCUGCACCAAUUGCUGAGAUAUUGCAGUAACAGGAGUCCUCCAAAACCAGCAAAUCAACAUAAAGUAUAUUACAAUCUUUAAGAUAAAUAUUAUUUUGAGGUAUAAAUCAUAAGACAGCUUGAUCUCCUUGUUGUGCAUUUCUUCACGAUUUGUAAGUUCCUUCUCCUUUGCAGCUGCUAACCUCCUAAGUUUUGCAGCCUGAGCAAAUGUUGAUGGCUCUGAAAAGGCGCUCGCCUCUUUCAAGAGCUGCUUUAUUUCUGCACGUAACUGAACUUCUGUAGCAUUCUUAGAUGCUCUCUGAAAGGAAAGCAUAGUACCCUUAAGAAAAAGCAUCUUAGGGGAAAAAAAAAACACCUUUCUCAGGGAAACAAAGUGCCUAAAAGGUUAAAGUUGAUCCAGAAUUUUCUCCCAAGAGUGGCAAAAUGAAUUAUGUUGUGAUGGAAAAUACCAAUCCAGUUAUUAACUAAGCUUCAGAGUCCAAUUAGUUAGCAAAGGUUUUUGUUAGUAUUAAUUUUGCCAAAAUGUUAGUCUAAGUAGGGAAAUAGUGAAGAUUCAUAUUAACAUUAUGGCUGAAAUAUCCCCUGUAUCAAAUCAUGAUUGAGCAAUAUAAAAUUCAAUUUCCUAUCUGAAUUCUCUCUCCCCAUCCUCUACAGAUACCACUGGAUCCAAGAAUUGAUUGUACCAAAACACAUAACCAAUAUUUUCCUAUUUACAAGUCCCUGUUUCUCUGCAAAUAAUGCAACGAAAUUGAAAUAGAAGAAUGAAAUUCUUACUCACAAAAAUCUAAGAUUAAGGAGAAAUAGUACACCACACAGUAAAAAAUUUUUAAUUCCUCUCCGGGACAAAAUGUAUCCUAUAAAGUUUAGAGUGUAGAUAAAUAUCCAAAUCCUUCUGGUUGUGAGCGUAAAAUAUAAGUACAAGAAUUAAAGAAUAAAUCAAAUAGCAAAAUACUGCUUGAAUGCACAUAAUCCAAGCAAGAACAGCCCCAAAAAUUAAACAUUGAAGAAUUCAUACAAUGAUAGUUGAAAAUUGAUAAAUGGUAUUAAACUAAAAGGUACCUUCUUUAAGUGCUCAAGCCACCUGGAGACCAACUGGAAAAACACAACAAUGAGAAAGAUGACAGGAGCUGCAAGAAAGCUUCCCUGUUCUCCUCCUAGGGUUUCUUCCUCUCCCAUAAUGAAUGUCUUUAUGGUCUUAUGUUCAGCUAGAGCAGAGAUUAUUGACUAUUUUAAUGAAAUCAACUGUGCAUGGUGAUUUAAGAAAAUAGUAGAGAAAAGUGAGACAUUGACCUAUAGCUGGAAGGGUAAUAAUUGUAAUUGAAUAUGAUUUUUUAAAACUACCCAUUAGAAUUAUUUGUGUGAAUUUCUUUCUUGAAAUAAAAAAUAAAUAUAUGUGAUGCAAAAGCUAGUCUAUGAAAUGAUGUCUUAACUUUUAAGAACUUAGUUGUGAUGCCUCAAAAAUCAAAACCUCCUAAUCUUUUCUUUGAAGUUUCCAACAAGUUUAAUUGAAAAUUAGACCUCAGCUUGAUAUUCUUAUGAUGGUUCAAUAAUGAAUAAUUUUACAGAAAUUUAAAGCCUUGCAGUUGUCAUCUAUAGGAUUUCAUGAUGAACCCCAUACCUCAUUCGGAUAUCGUAGGACCUUUGGUGAGAUGCCUAGAAAUCUCUUAUAUUUGAUUUCAAAAUUUCAAGCAGCUCUAAAGAUAAUAGCAACUUCUCCCACAUGAUGGGAUAGAAGUUUGAAAUUCACAAAACAAAGAAAUAAUCUCUCAAAAAGUUUCAAAAUAAAUUACUUCAGCCACCCCAAUCACAAUAUAGUGACUCUUUCUCGAGCUAAAUGAAUGCGCUUGAUACUAUCUCAUAACUUAUUCAGACUAAGCUUACAAAAGAAUAUCAUACAAUUUUCCCAAAAAUACAAUCAAAGAGGGGCAUAGACUAACUAACAGGUUAAGGUUGUUAAUCCUUAAUCUUCAUUCUCAUCUUCAGCAGUGCUAACCAGUCCAAUCCAACAGAAAAGAUUAUAAAUGACACCAAAUAUAUAUAUAAUGCAACAUAAUAAGUAUUAAAAUAGCUUCAAAAUUUAAAAUCUUAACUCCAAAGUCCUAAUAAAAAUAAUCUUAAUGAUGCAAAUUUAACCAGUGAAUGAAGAACGAUAAAAACCAAUGAAAUCCUUCUAUGAAAAUAUUGAACCUGUCAACUUGAAGCCAUUUUCAUCAACAUCUUAAAAAACAAAAAUAAACCAAAACCCACAAAGGACAUUCCGUAAUAAGUGCCAUUGACCCAUUGAUAGCUUAUUAAAAAAAGCUAAAUGAAACAAAUAAAAAAAAAAGGACAAAAAUCUUGACAUAUUUUGCUAAAAAAACUGCAAAGUUACGGGCAAUAAUAGAGAAAGACCAAGGAAAAAGAGAAUUUAGUACCUGGUGAUCAUUAACAGAAUCAAGACCUGGAGUUUUACCGAUAGAUUACUAUAGAAUACCUGAUUUUAGGAGGUUGAGAUAUCUCAGAGAGAGAUUUGUUGUUUCUAUACAAAUACAUACCCGACACGCGUUUUCCUUCUUUUUAAAAACCGUUUUAG
rnacentral:misc_RNA from 1 species